UUUUUUUCCUUUUCCUUUUGUUUUCUUUUCAUUUCUUUCCGUUUUUCGGAGAUCUCUAGGAAGAGAAGCACCUGAGGGAGAUCGGAGGGAAAGGCCGACGCCAGUGACGAUGGGGAGGAAGGCGACCGCGGAGACCGGUGGGAGGUGGCGGCGAGGAGAGCAAGAAGGAGGUCGGCGUCUCUCUUUUUCGGAGAGAUCUGUGGGAAGGAAAGCACAGGAGGGAGAUUGGAGGGGAAGGCCGACGCCGGUGAUGAGAGAGAGGAAGGCGACGGCAGAGACCGGCGGGAGGUGGCGGCGAGGACAGUAGGGAGGAGGUGGGCGUGGCGUGUCAUCCACCCGCUGCUUAUCCCUCCGAUGAUUGGCAUCUUUCCCUCCGAUGAUGAUGCGAUUUGAUUGGCCGACGGUUGAGAUGAAGUAAAAUCAAAAGAAAGAUGC
rnacentral:lncRNA from 1 species